ensembl:lncRNA DLX2-DT DLX2 divergent transcript
GAUGAGUCAGAGAGAAAAAAGGGUUGAAUAUGCUUUGGCUGACCAGGACCAGGAUGAUGAGAUGUAGACACACCUCCUCAAGGAGUUUUGCAAGACGUCCCACCCACAUCAACAGGUGGUGGGCCUUUUGAUGACAGCUAUGGAAAAGUCUUUCCAGAAAAAUGCACGUGCACAUAAAAUUAGAAUGUUUCCAAGAUACGCAUGGACCCUGUGAAACCCACUGAAGAUUCCAUGGCCCCAGUUUCAGAGAUGACAAGGAAAAUCUUCAUUACCAUUUCAAGAACUGGGAACAAAGAAAAAUCCCGUUCCAGGACGCAAAGGAGGAGAUGCGGGUAGCUGAACAGAAACUUUUGAAGAUUACCAUGGGAAUACACCUGUGAACUUCCAGGUUUGAUCUCAGUUACUCCCUUACUUGAAGAAGGCUUCGAUGAUUCCUCAUGGAGAAAUCCCAGAUACUUCUGCACAUGAUUCAGAGGUCCCUUACAACUGGCUUCAGCCUGCCUUCCAAGCCCUGUCUCUCGCCUCUCCCUUCCUUCACACUGUGCUUCAGCGAGAUUUUAGCCUAUUUUAUUGACAGAGGAGGUGUGAUUUGCAAUAACAAUGCUCUUAAAAAGGAUUACCAUCAUCAUCAUCACCAUCAUCAUCUUCAUCAUCAUCAUCCUUUUGAAGCAAAAGAAUCCAAAAGGAGUAACAGGGAUGACAUUUAAGGUUCAGAAUUCUAUAGGGAUGGUACAGCCCGGGUCCUAAAGCAAGGAUAUUGUACUAUUUUAUCAUCUUGUAGGGUGCAAUGCAUCCAGAAGAUAAAGGCCAAAGAUUAUACAUCAGAGAACCACCAGAAUCUUUCUGUUCUUGCAGGGAGCAUCUUUACUCACAUGGCUAUAGUCACCGAAAUUCCAACCGAGUAAUAAACUAAAUGCCUGGGUGUGGG